CUACGGGGCGCUCCAGUGGGGAAUCUUGCGCAAUGGGCGAAAGCCUGACGCAGCAACGCCGCGUGCGGGAUGAAGGCCUUCGGGCUGUAAACCGCUUUCAGCAGGAACGAAAAUGACGGUACCUGCAGAAGAAGGAGCGGCCAACUACGUGCCAGCAGCCGCGGUGACACGUAGGCUCCAAGCGUUGUCCGGAUUUAUUGGGCGUAAAGAGCUCGUAGGCGGUUGAGUAAGUCGGGUGUGAAAACUCUGGGCUUAACCCGGAGACGCCAUCCGAUACUGCUCUGACUAGAGUUCAGGAGGGGAGUGGGGAGUUCCUAGUGUAGCGGUGAAAUGCGCAGAUAUUAGGAGGAACACCGGUGGCGAAGGCGCCACUCUGGACUGAAACUGACGCUGAGGAGCGAAAGCAUGGGUAGCAAACAGGAUUAGAUACCCCAGUAGUC
rnacentral:rRNA from 1 species